AUUGAACGCUGGCGGCAGGCGUAACACAUGCAAGUCGAGCGAGCGGCGGACGGGUGAGUAAUGUCUGGGAAACUGCCUGAUGGAGGGGGAUAACUACUGGAAACGGUAGCUAAUACCGCAUACCAUCAGAUGUGCCCAGAUGGGAUUAGCUAGUAGGUGGGGUAAUGGCUCACCUAGGCGACGAUCCCUAGCUGGUCUGAGAGGAUGACCAUCCACACUGGAACUGAGAAACGGGCCAUACUCCUACGGGAGGGAGCAGUGGGGAAUAUUGCACCAUGGGCGCAAGCCUGAUGCAGCCAUGCCGCGUGUGUUAAGAAGGGCUUCGGGUUGUAAAGCACUUUCAGCGAGGAGGCGUUACCUCCAGAAGAAGCACCUGCUAACUCCGUGCGAGCAGCCGCGGUAAUUC
rnacentral:rRNA from 1 species